rnacentral:rRNA from 1 species
UACGAAGGGGGCUAGCGUUGCUCGGAAUCACUGGGCGUAAAGGGUGCGUAGGCGGGUCUUUAAGUCAGGGGUGAAAUCCUGGAGCUCAACUCCAGAACUGCCUUUGAUACUGAAGAUCUUGAGUUCGGGAGAGGUGAGUGGAACUGCGAGUGUAGAGGUGAAAUUCGUAGAUAUUCGCAAGAACACCAGUGGCGAAGGCGGCUCACUGGCCCGAUACUGACACUGAGGCACGAAAGCGUGGGGAGCAAACAGG